GACGAACGCUGGCGGCGUGCCUAAUACAUGCAAGUAGAACGCUGAAGGAGGAGCUUGCUUCUCCGGAUGAGUUGCGAACGGGUGAGUAACGCGUAGGUAACCUGCCUGGUAGCGGGGGAUAACUAUUGGAAACGAUAGCUAAUACCGCAUAAGAGUAGAUGUUGCAUGACAUUUGCUUAAAAGGUGCAAUUGCAUCACUACCAGAUGGACCUGCGUUGUAUUAGCUAGUUGGUGGGGUAACGGCUCACCAAGGCGACGAUACAUAGCCGACCUGAGAGGGUGAUCGGCCACACUGGGACUGAGACACGGCCCAGACUCCUACGGGAGGCAGCAGUAGGGAAUCUUCGGCAAUGGACGGAAGUCUGACCGAGCAACGCCGCGUGAGUGAAGAAGGUUUUCGGAUCGUAAAGCUCUGUUGUAAGAGAAGAACGGGUGUGAGAGUGGAAAGUUCACACUGUGACGGUAUCUACCAGAAA
rnacentral:rRNA from 1 species